UCCUUGGUGGUCUAGUGGUUAAGACUUUGCUUCCAGUGCAGGGGAUGCAGGUUUGAUCCCUGGUCAGGGAA
rnacentral:tRNA from 1 species